UAGGGAAUCUUGCGCAAUGGGCGAAAGCCUGACGCAGCAACGCCGCGUGGAGGACGAAGGCCUUCUGGGUUGUAAACUCCUUUCGGCAGGGACGAAUAAAAUGACGGUACCUGCAGAAGAAGCCCCGGCCAACUACGUGCCAGCAGCCGCGGUAAUACGUAGGGGGCAAGCGUUGUCCGGAUUUAUUGGGCGUAAAGAGCUCGUAGGCGGCUCGGCAAGUCGGGUGUGAAAUCUCCAGGCUCAACCUGGAGGGGCCACUCGAUACUGCCGUGGCUAGAGUCCGGUAGGGGGUCACGGAAUUCCUGGUGUAGCGGUGAAAUGCGCAGAGAUCAGGAGGAACACCGGUGGCGAAGGCGGUGACCUGGGCCGGUACUGACGCUGAGGAGCGAAAGCGUGGGGAGCGAACAGGAUUAGAUACCCCUGUAGUCC
rnacentral:rRNA from 1 species